GCGGGGGUACCGAAGCGGUCUAACGGGAUGGGCUUAGGACCCAUUGGCUUAGUGCCUUCGUCGGUUCGAACAAGCCUUUCUUUCGUAAAGAAAGCCUUGAGGGAAAGAAAGCUUCGAAAUUCCGACCUCCCGCA
rnacentral:tRNA from 1 species